GGAAGAAGCGUCUCUGCACAGGCGUUUCUCUGCAGCGCGCCAGGGGCUGCACUCCCACAGGGAGUGGGAUCCUGACUCUGAGCAGCCCCAGCCGCUGCCCAGACCCGGGCCAGCCGUGUCCUGGUGCGCCCGGCGCGCCCUGCGGGAGCUGAGCCUGGCCCAGGCCGCCCCGGAGAGCUGGUUCAGGGAAUGCAGGCAUGCCAGGAAAGACAUUUUUGUCCUACCUGAAACACCUGAAGCGGACCAAAUUCUGUGGACCAAGCUUCCCAUCCCUCAGAGGCACCUCUUUGCAUCCAGGAAAGGAGUGUCCACCUCCAAAGAGGCUGAAGGGGCUGGUGGGAGCCUCCUGAGGAAAUGCACCAAGGCCAGCUCGGGGUCUUCUCCUGUGCCCGGCUCCCGCUCCAAACCUGUCCUGCCUCCAAUCCCACCUGGAUGGAAGAGCAGCAACCCCUGACGGCCACUUCCAGCCCGGUUCCUGUCGCACUGCCUCUUUCCAGCCCUGCUUUUCAUCUCUUUCUCUGCAAAACCUAUCAAAUAUUAUUGCUGAAUCCAUUUCUGAUUAACUCUCCAAAACAAAAAAAAUUAAAAAAAAGGGGUUAUUUAUUUAUAACUUUAUUAAAAAGUAAUUUCUGUAUUUCCCAAAGCCAGAAAUUAUUUCCCUGGGCGCUCUCAGCUGGGAAAUGGUGGAGAUUUUUUUUUCCUAGCAUGGAAUUGUAUCUUCCAUUAAUUUUAUGGAUUUAAUUGAGGUGUGGAAGCACCAGGGCUUCUGAUAAUAUUGUCUGUAUUGAAGGGCUGGUGAAUUAUUUAAAAGAGGGAUUUUGUGAAAUGUUCAGAGGGAAAUUGGGAGUGAAAACCAGUUCAGAGUUGGGGUUUUUUUUAAAAAAUAAAAUGCGGUUGAGUCGCAAUUAUUUAAUUUGCAAGUGGAUUUAGAGAACCUAGAGAGGAGUCAUCAGCAAA